UAAUUACUCCCUUCAUCCGGAAAUACUUAUCCAAAGAAUAAAUGUAUCUAGAUGUAUAUUAGUUUUAGAUACACUCAUUUGUAUCCAUUCCUAUGACAAGUAUUUCUGAACAUAGGGAGUAUUUU
rfam:Triticum aestivum genome assembly, contig: Triticum_aestivum_CS42_TGACv1_scaffold_473519_6AL